ACAUCCCGCUAUAAUGCAGUCGACGAACUCUGGUAUUGAUUGGUGCUUGCAUCAUGAUUUACAUUUGAGUGAGUGGCGAACUGGUGAGUAACACGUGGGAAACCUGCCCAGAAGCGGGGGAUAACACCUGGAAACAGAUGCUAAUACCGCAUAACAACUUGGACCGCAUGGUCCGAGCUUGAAAGAUGGCUUCGGCUAUCACUUUUGGAUGGUCCCGCGGCGUAUUAGCUAGAUGGUGGGGUAACGGCUCACCAUGGCAAUGAUACGUAGCCGACCUGAGAGGGUAAUCGGCCACAUUGGGACUGAGACACGGCCCAAACUCCUACGGGAGGCAGCAGUAGGGAAUCUUCCACAAUGGACGAAAGUCUGAUGGAGCAACGCCGCGUGAGUGAAGAAGGGUUUCGGCUCGUAAAACUCUGUUGUUAAAGAAGAACAUAUCUGAGAGUAACUGUUCAGGUAUUGACGGUAUUUAACCAGAAAGCCACGGCUAACUACGUGCCAGCAGCCGCGGUAAUACGUAGGUGGCAAGCGUUGUCCGGAUUUAUUGGGCGUAAAGCGAGCGCAGGCGGUUUUUUAAGUCUGAUGUGAAAGCCUUCGGCUCAACCGAAGAAGUGCAUCGGAAACUGGGAAACUUGAGUGCAGAAGAGGACAGUGGAACUCCAUGUGUAGCGGUGAAAUGCGUAGAUAUAUGGAAGAACACCAGUGGCGAAGGCGGCUGUCUGGUCUGUAACUGACGCUGAGGCUCGAAAGUAUGGGUAGCAAACAGGAUUAGAUACCCUGGUAGUCCAUACCGUAAACGAUGAAUGCUAAGUGUUGGAGGGUUUCCGCCCUUCAGUGCUGCAGCUAACGCAUUAAGCAUUCCGCCUGGGGAGUACGGGCCGCAAGGCUGAAACUCAAAGGAAUUGACGGGGGCCCGCACAAGCGGUGGAGCAUGUGGUUUAAUUCGAAGCUACGCGAAGAACCUUACCAGGUCUUGACAUACUAUGCAAAUCUAAGAGAUUAGACGUUUCCCUUCGGGGACAUGGAUACAGGUGGUGCAUGAUUGUCGUCAGCUCGUGUCGUGAGAUGUGGUUAAGUCUUGCAACGAGCGCUGCUCUUUAAUAAUCAGAGACUAGCCAUCAGGUGGCACCUCUGAUUGAGACUGCCUGGUGACUACCUGGAGGAAGGUGAGGUAAUGGAACGUUCGAAUUCAAUCCAAUG
rnacentral:rRNA from 1 species